GGCCNACCAUGCAAGUCGAGGGGUAACAUGAGAGCUUGCUCUUGAUGACGACCGGCGCACGGGUGAGUAACGCGUAUGCAACCUGCCUAUAACCGUGGGAUAGCACUUCGAAAGGAGUAUUAAUACCACAUAACACUGUUUAAUUGCCUGAUUAGACAUUUAAAUUUCCGGAGGUUAUAGAUGGGCAUGUGUGACAUUAGCCAGUUGGCGGGGUAACGGCCCACCAAAGCAACGAUGUCUAGGGGUUCUGAGAGGAAGGUCCCCCACACUGGUACUGAGACACGGACCAGACUCCUACGGGAGGCAGCAGUGAGGAAUAUUGGUCAAUGGACGCAAGUCUGAACCAGCCAUGUCGCGUGCUAGGAAGACUGCCCUAUGGGUUGUAAACUGCUUUUCUACGAGAAGAAAGUUAUCUAACGUGUAGAUAAUUGCCGGUAUCGUAAGAACAAGGAUCGGCUAACUCCGUGCCAGCNGCCGCGGUAAUACGGANGAUCCGAGCGUUAUCCGGGAUUUAUUGGGGUUUAAAGGGUACGUAGGCGGAAUAGAAAGUCNNGCGGUUAAAAUCCUUGGCNACUUNAACUNGNUAGAANUUGNCGUUUGANACUUGGUUAUUCUUUGAAAAGUUAUAUNGAAGGUUAGGGCGGUAAUGUGGUGNAGUANACGGUUUAANUGCCNUUAGCAUAUACCCNCCGGAANACCNUAUUGGCGNAAGGNNNGCUUUANUAAACUACAACUGGACGCUGGAGGGGNNUAAAGCGGNGGGGUAUCAAACAGGGANUAAAUACCCNGGCAGGUNNANNCC
rnacentral:rRNA from 1 species